UCAAGCUAAAAAGGGCGCAAGGUGAAUGCCUUGGCACUGGGAGCCGAUGAAAGACGUGGUAAGCUGCGAAAAGCUUCGGGGAGGAGCAAACAUCCAUUGAUCCGGAGAUAUCUGAAUGGGGCAACCCAAUGGAGUUCAUACUCCAUUAUCCAAUACUGAAUCCAUAGGUAUUGGAAGGGAACCGCCUGAACUGAAACAUCUAAGUAGGGCGAGGAAGAGACAUCAAACGAGAUUCCGUAAGUAGUGGCGAGCGAACGCGGAAGAGGGCAAACCGAGAGGAGAAAUCCUUUCGGGGUACGGACUGCUUUUAGGACUGAAAGAGUUAACAGAAUGGCAUGGGAAGGCCAACCGAAGAGUGUGAGAGUCACGUAAGUAAAAAUUCUGACAGCUGCGCAGGAUCCAGAGUACGGCCAGACACGUGAAACCUGGUCGGAACAUGGGGGGACCACCCUCCAACCCUAAAUACUACCCAGUGACCGAUAGCGUAUAGUACUGUGAAGGAAAGGUGAAAAGGACCCCGGGAGGGGAGUGAAAGAGAACCUGAAACCUUGUGCCUACAAGCACAUAGAGCCCGUCAAAGGGUGAUAUGGUACUUUUUGUAGAACGGUCCGGCGAGCGAUUGUACGUUGCGAGCUUAAGGUCUUAAGGACUGGAGGCGUAGCGAGAGCGAGUCUAAACAGGGCGUUUAGUAGCGUGCAAUGGGCCCGAAACCGGGUGACCUACCCAUGAUCAGGCUGAAGUGAAAGUAAAAUUUCAUGGAGGGCCGAACCGACCUCCGUUGAAAAGGCGGCGGAUGAAUUGUGGGUAGCGGAGAAAUUCCAAUCGAACUCGGAGAUAGCUGGUUCUCCCCGAAAUAGCUUUAGGGCUAGCCUCAUGUUAGAUAUCCGGAGGUAAAGCACUGAAUGGCCUAGCGUCCGAGAGGAUAGCGAAGCCUAUCAAACUAAGAAUGCCGGAAUAUUGAUGCAUGGGAGUCAGACAGUGUGAGAUAAAUCUCAUUGUCAAAAGGGAAACAGCCCAGAUCUACAGCUAAGGUCCCAAAUUGUAUCUAAGUGGAAAACGAUGUGGAAAUACGCAGACAACCAGGAUGUUGGCUCAGAAGCAGCCACUCAUUUAAAGAGUGCGUAAUAGCUCACUGGUCGAGCGUCUCUGCGCGGAAAAUUUAACGGGGCUAAGAUACAAACCGAAGCUUAGGCUGCACUUUUAGUGCGGGGUAGGGGAGCGUUGUGUAAGCGGAGAAACAGUAGCGGAAGCGGCUGUGGAGUUUACAGAAGUGAGAAUGCCGGAAUGAGUAGCGCGAAUGAUGUGAGAAUCAUCAUGGCCGGAAACCUCAGGUUUUUGGAGGAAGGUUCGUCCGCUCCAAGUUAGGCGGGAGCUAAGGUGAGGCCGAAAGGCGUAGCCGAUGCACAGACGGUAGAGAUUCCGUCCCCACCGAAAGAUUUAAGCGCAGGGACACUUUUAGAAGGUCGGAGCCAGGUGUUGGUUCUGGUAGAGAUCGAGGGAAGAUUAGUACCGAAGUCCGGCUGGAUAAGAGGCGAGAAAAGCUGCGUGUAUAUCUAAGGUGCCCGUACCGCAAACCGACACAGGUAGGUAGGAAGAAGAUUCUAAGGCCAACGGGAGAAGGGUUGUUAAGGAACUCGGCAAGUUGACCCCGUAACUUCGGAAUAAGGGGUGCUCAUGAAAGUGAGCCGCAGAGAAUAGGCCCAGGCAACUGUUUACCAAAAACACAGGUUUGUGCUAAAUCGAAAGAUGACGUAUACGAGCUGACGCCUGCCCGGUGCUGGAAGGUUAAAAGGAGAUGUGCAAGCAUUGAAUUGAAGCCCCAGUGAACGGCGGCCGUAACUAUAACGGUCCUAAGGUAGCGAAAUUCCUUGUCAGGUAAGUUCUGACCCGCAUGAAAGGCGUAAUGAUCUGGGCACUGUCUCAACAGCCCGCCCGGCGAAAUUGUAGUACCGGUGAAGAUGCCGGUUACCCGCGACAA
rnacentral:rRNA from 1 species